UACGGAGGAUCCGAGCGUUAUCCGGAUUUAUUGGGUUUAAAGGGUGUGUAGGCGGAAUUGUAAGUCAGUGGUGAAAGCCCUUCGCUUAACGAAGGAACUGCCAUUGAUACUGCAAAUCUUGAGUACAUUUGAUGAGGGCGGAAUGUGUCAUGUAGCGGUGAAAUGCUUAGAUAUGACACAGAACACCGAUUGCGAAGGCAGCUCUCAAAACUGUAACUGACGCUGAGGCACGAAAGCGUGGGUAUCAAACAGG
rnacentral:rRNA from 1 species